AUGCGUGCAGCGGGCUCGGCCCCGGUGCCAUGGGGGGGCCGCCGCCGCUGCCGCCGUCCUCGGGCAUCCUUCGUGGACGAGUCCUUGUUCGGGAGCCCCGCGGCCUCUCGUCCCCCUCCGCCCGCAUUCGCCCCGCCAUGGGCAGAUGCUGCCGGUGCCGGGUCCAGGCCGAGCGGCCAGCGGAGGCUGAGAGGCCACGCUCCGUCUUUCUGUGAUGAGUCCCUGUUCGGCCCGGCCCGCGCCGCUCCUCGCAUGACCAAGGAAGAUGUAGCCAAGCUCCAGGCUCUGCUCUGGAGCCCCCCGCCUGCCCCCCGCGCCCAGCCUGGCCUCUCCCGCUGCUGCAGGGGCUCCCCGGUAAGAGCUGCCCACGCGCCGGCCGCAGCGGGCUCGGAGGUGUCGCGACGGGACACAUCCUGUGUGUGGAAGCGUCCCGAGAGCGAGCCUCGCUCCGCAGGCAGAGCACGACCCCAGUCUCUGGGCUGCCCAAGCACGCCCUUGGAUGGGCCCUGCCGGGCUUUGGACAGCCCCAAGCCAGGAAGGUGUAAAAACGGGGUUCCCUUGACAGCCCCCGCGGCCCCUCGGGUGCUGGGUCGGUCACAGCGUGUGUCCGGACCUCCUUUGGCCAGGAGCAGCACGGCAGCAAGUACCUGCAAGGCCAGGCCUCCCUGGAAGUGAAGCCAGACAUCCCUCUGGAUGCCUACCCAAGACCUCCUGAUGGGCAAGUCCAUGAGGACCCUGCACCUUUCCAUGGCUGGAAAUGAAGGAUGGGGCUGCUCUGUGCUGGGAGCCGUGCGUGCCUGCAGUGCCAAGCGGGCAGUGACCUCCGUGCGCAGGGCACGCUCCUGCAGCACCAGAGUGGGACAGCCGUGGUGGUGACAGCAGCUUCCAUUGACUGCCCAGUGGUCAUCAGAGGUGCGGUAACGGGUCAGGUUCCUUCUGACCGGGAAGUCCAGUUGGGAAGUUGGAGCAGCAGGAGACAGGACUGCCUGCAGCAUGGAGUCCAGGAGGACCAGGCACAGCAGGUACAGGCUG